GUGAGGAAUAUUGGUCAAUGGGCGAGAGCCUGAACCAGCCAAGUCGCGUGAAGGAUGAAGGUUUUAUGAAUUGUAAACUUCUUUUGCAGGGGAAUAAAGUACGGUACGUGUACCGUUUUGUAUGUACUCUGCGAAUAAGGAUCGGCUAACUCCGUGCCAGCAGCCGCGGUAAUACGGAGGAUCCAAGCGUUAUCCGGAUUUAUUGGGUUUAAAGGGUGCGCAGGCGGGUUGAUAAGUCAGCGGUGAAAGUUUGCAGCUUAACUGUAAAAUUGCCGUUGAAACUGUCGAUCUUGAGUGCAAAUGAGUUAAGCUGAAUGUGUUGUGUAGCGGUGAAAUGCUUAGAUAUAACACAGAACACCGAUUGCGAAGGCAGCUUACUGGGAUGCAACUGACGCUCAUGCACGAAAGCGUGGGGAUCAAACAGGAUUAGAAACCCGUGUAGUCC
rnacentral:rRNA from 1 species